GUCACAAUUCCAGUGAGCAGCAGGUGAAAGCUUCACCAUCAAUAGUUCCUAGUCCGGCGGAAAUUGUAUAGAUAUAGAUGGCAAUUAGCAGCUAGCCAACGCGGCAGAGCAAGUCAUGACACUAACAACUCCGUCGAAUGCUUUCUUGAACCAGCUAUGAGAUCGACAAACAUAAAUGACCAGGAUUCAAAGUCACAAUUUCGGUGAGCAGUAGUCCAUAGUCCGGCAGAAAUUGUAUAGAUAUAGAUGGCCAUUAGCUAGACAACGCGGCACAGCCAGUUAUAACACAAAACCGUAAUAACUCCUCCUAAUGCUUUCUUGAUCCGGCUAUAAGAUCGGGUUCUCCCAAACCGGUAUGUAAAUCUCAGCGAUCCCUGUGUAUUCACAGGGUAUUCCACAUAGGGUCCAGGCGGCCUACCUCUGAGUUCCCUCAGCGACACAUCAACCUGACCGUUGCAUCGGUCACGGUUAACCCGCCGUUUCCAGUAUAACUUGGUGACAACCCUGGAGCAAUCAUCUGGGAGGUUGGAGUCACGUAUCCAGUAUGUGGCGUUGAAUUUCAAAUUAGGUUUGGUCCCCUUUUCCUGUAUAACUUGGUGACAUCCCUGGUUCAACAUGGAAUUUGAUGAAGCAUGGGGACGGAUCAUUGGCAAGACUCCAUUUCCUCUAAUUGGUGAGGGAUUUGUGAGGUUCGAAGAGAAGAAAGCCGCAGACAUGUAAUGUUGGGAAAGAUAACUAUCAGUGAGCUUGUUGAAAGUUCUGCCCUUGUUGUUGUCGAGACUGUUGCUAAUAGAGCAGUCAAUUUUCAGCGAAAACUUGAAGAAAAGUUAUGGGCCUGGUGUGACUUUUGCAACAAAUCGUGCAAUACUCGGGAGAACUGCUGGAAAAUUCAUGAAAAACCAACGAAUUAGAAGAGUAGCAAGCCUGGUGACAGAAAUAGGCAUGCGGUUCCUAUUGUCAAUGAAGCUGAGACAAGUCCUUUAAACAAGGAGCAGAUAGAUCACCUUCUGAAGCUGCUGAAAUUUAAUUCCUCAUCUGGUAUUCUUAGUAUUUCUCUUGCACAAACAGGACGAUAAUUCGGGGAAGAAGAUUGGCAGUGCUAAGAUAAUAGAUGGACUUUACUACUUUAAUGGUGACUUCUCCAGUAAUAAAAAGGCUCAGGGCCUCAGUAGUGUUAGUUCUAACUCUAUUUAUGAACAAAUAAUGUUUUGGCAUUUAAAACUAGGAUAUCCUAGUUUUCCAUAUCUUAAACGUUUCCUACUUUAUUUAAAGAUUUGGAUUGUUCAUCAUUCUAAUGUGAAAGUUGUUGCUUCUCUAAGAGUUAUUGUACUACUUAUUUGCCUAAACCUUAUGCUCCUUCAAAACUAUUUUAUUUAAUACAUAGUGAUGUUUGGGGACCUUCAAGAGUCACUACUAUUUUUAAGAAAAAAUGAUUUGUUACUUUUAUAGAUGAUUAUACCCGUUUAUGUUGAGUUUAUUUGAUAAAUGAAAAGUUUGAGGUUGAAAUUUUUUUUAAGAAUUUUUACAUAAUGAUUGAAACUCAGUUUUAAGCAAAAAUUAGCAUUUUUCACACCGAUAAUGGAACCGAGUAUUUUAAUGAAAUUUUGGGGAGUUUUUAUCCAUCAUUAGUCUACUUGUGUGGAUACCCCUCAACAAAACAGAAUUGCUAAAAAAAAAAAAAUAAUAAACAUUUACUUGAAGUGGCUCGUGCUAUAAUGUUUUUAAUGAAUAUUCCAAAAUAUCUUUGGGGGGAAGUUGUUUUAAGAGCGUCAUAUUUAAUUAACAUAAUGCCUACACGUGUUUUAAAAUAUAGCACGCCAUUAGAAUGUUUUAAAAGAAUUUUUCCUUUAUCAAGAAUAUAUUCGGAUUUAUCUCUAAAGGUUUUUUGCUGCAUAGCUUUUGUUCACAUACGCAAUAAUACUCGAUCCAAACUUGAUUCUCAAGCUGAAAAAUGUGUUUUCAUAGGGUAUGCUUCUACUCAAAUGGGAUAUAAGUGCUAUAAUCCCCAAACAAGAAAAUUUUAUGUGAGUAUGGAUGUCUCUUUCUUUGAAAAUAAAUUCUACUUUCACAAAAAUUCUCUUUAGGGGAAAAAUAAGGUGAUGGAAGAAAAUUUUUGGGAUUUAUCUCCUACUCCUUUACCAAAUGUGAUUUUGAUUACUUCACCUCAUCCUACUGUUAUUCCCGAAAUUCAAAGUCAGGAACAAUGUGAUAAAACCAAUGAAAACAAUGAAGGGAAUCCUAGUCAUACAGUGCCAAACAUUAUUAUAUCUGAAACAAGGGAAGAACCACUACAACUGGGCACAAAAGUUCCCAAUACUGAGCCUCUGGUUUAUACUCGGAGAAGACCUCAUCAAAAGAGUCAAAGUCUGCAUAUUCCUCUUGGAAAUGAUCAAUCUCAACCUCCGGGAACUGGACCUCUAGAUAUCACAGGUAAUUCUGAACCUAAAUCAUCUUCAGUUCCCAUUGCUUCUCCUAACAAAGAACCAUCAAACCUUGAUAUUCCUAUAACUGUUAGGAAAUGUAUUCGAAUUAAAUAUCCAAAUCCAAAAUAUCCCAUUACCAAAUACCUUUCUUAUUAAAAACUCUCUCAUACUCAAAGGGCUUUUACCUCAAAAAUCUCACACUUGUUUAGCCCGAGAAACAUUUAGGAAACUCUUAAUGAUCCGAAUUGGAAGGUAGCAGUAAUGGAAAAGAUGAAUGCUCUUAGAAGAAAUGGUACUUGGGAGAUAGUUGAUUUACCUAAGGAAAAAAGAAUAGUAGGUUGCAAGUGGGUCUUUACUGUGAAAUGUAAAAUUGAUGGUAGCAUGAGAGGUAUAAAGCAAGACUAAUAGCAAAAAGGGUUCACCCAGACCUAUAGAAUUGAUUAUCAGGAAACUUUUGCUCCUGUAACCAAGAUAAACUCAAUCAGAAUCUUGUUAUCUUUGUCUGUGAAUUUCAGCUGGCCAUUACACCAGUUAAAUGUAAAAGAUGCCUUUUUAAAUGGAGAUCUUGAGGAGGAGGUCUUUAUGAAUCUACCAUCUGGGUUUGAAGAAAAAUUGGGACCUAAUAAAGUCUGUAGACUAAAAAAAUCUUUAUAUGGGGUCUCGAACAGUCGCCUAGAGCUUGGUUUGAGAGAUUUGGGAUAGCUGUGAAGAAUUGUAGCUACUGUUAGAGCCAAGCUGACCAUACCAUGUUCUACAAACAUAGUAGAAAAUGCAAGGUUGUAGUCUUAAUUGUCUACGUGGAUGAUAUAGUCUUAACAGGUAAUGACAAUGAAGAAUUAGAGAAACUGAAGAGACUUGCAGCUGACUUUGAGUUCAAGGAUUUGGGUGUAUUAAAAUACUUUCUUGGAAUGAAGUUUGCUAGUUCCAAAGAAGGGAUAUUUGUGACUCAAUGUAAAUAUGUUCUUGAUUUACUUAGUGGGACAGGUCUGCUAAAAUGUAAACCAGUCGAGACACCUAUUGAGCCCAACCUUAAGCUGCAGCUUUCUAAAGAUGAAGAAGUUCUGAAUAGAGAGCAGUAUCAAAGACUUGUUGGAAGAUUAAUCUACUUGUCACAUACACGUCUAGAUAUAGCUUUUGCAGUCAACAUGAUUAGCCAGUUCAUUCAUUCACCUGGACGAAAAACACUUUGAUGCAGUCUAUAGAAUUCUCAGAUACCUAAAAUGUAAUACCCUAAUAUUUUAAAGGUAUUAUUUAUUGGGAUUCA